GGGAUUGCCUCAGUAACGGCGAGUGAAGCGGCAACAGCUCAAAUUUGAAAUCUGGCCCCGUCGGGGUCCGAAUUGUAAUUUGUAGAGAGUGCUUCGGGCGAGGCCUCGGUCUAAGUCCAUUGGAACAUGGUGUCAUAGAGGGUGAGAAUCCCGUAUGCGACCGUGGCUCGAGCCCAUGUGAAGCCUCUUCGACGAGUCGAGUUGUUUGGGAAUGCAGCUCAAAAUGGGUGGUAAAUUUCAUCUAAAGCUAAAUACCGGCUGGAGACCGAUAGCGCACAAGUAGAGUGAUCGAAAGAUGAAAAGCACUUUGGAAAGAGAGUCAAACAGUACGUGAAAUUGUUGAAAGGGAAGCGCUUGCAACCAGACCUGCCCGUAGGCGAUCAGCCGCUGUUCUCAGCGGUGUACUCGCUCUGCGAUCAGGCCAGCAUCGGUUUCGGCGGUCGGAUAAAGGCCUUGGGAAUGUAGCUUCCCUUCGGGGGAGUCUUAUAGCCCUCGGUGCAAUGCGGCCAGCCGGGACCGAGGACCGCGCUUCGGCUAGGAUGCUGGCGUAAUGGUUGUAAGCGACCCGUCUUGAAACACGGACCAAGGAGUCUAACAUCUAUGCGAGUGUUUGGGUGUCAAACCCAUGCGCGGAAUGAAAGUGAACGGAGGUGAGAACCCUGGAGGGCGCAUCAUCGACCGAUCCAGAUGUCUUCGGAUGGAUUUGAGUAUGAGCAUAGCUGUUGGGACCCGAAAGAUGAUGAACUAUKCCUGAAUAGGGUGAAGCCAGAGGAAACUCUGGUGGAGGCUCGCAGCGGUUCUGACGUGCAAAUCGAUCGUCAAAUUUGGGUAUAGGGGCGAAAGACUAAUCG
rnacentral:rRNA from 1 species